rnacentral:tRNA from 1 species
GGACGCGUAGCUCAGCGGGAGAGCACUACGUUGACAUCGUAGGGGUCACAGGUUCAAUCCCUAUCGCGUCCACCA